ACGGAAGGCAGCAGUGGGGAAUAUUGGGCAAUGGGCGAAAGCCUGACCCAGCAACGCCGCGUGAAGGAAGAAGGUCUUCGGAUUGUAAACUUCUUUUAUGAGGGACGAAGGACGUGACGGUACCUCAUGAAUAAGCCACGGCUAACUACGUGCCAGCAGCCGCGGUAAUACGUAGGGGGCAAGCGUUAUCCGGAUUUACUGGGUGUAAAGGGUGCGUAGACGGCUGUGCAAGUCAGAAGUGAAAUCCCGGGGCUUAACCCCGGUGCUGCUUUUGAAACUGUACGGCUAGAGUGCUGGAGGGGCAAGCGGAAUUCCUGGUGUAGCGGUGAAAUGCGUAGAUAUCAGGAGGAACACCGGUGGCGAAGGCGGCUUGCUGGACAGUAACUGACGUUGAGGCACGAAAGCGUGGGGAGCAAACAGGAUUAGAUACCCUGGUA
rnacentral:rRNA from 1 species